ACACUUUUAUCACAUAGCCUCAGGAAAUCUUUUACUAUUUGAAAUCCAAGGUCCUCAGAGACCAACAGCUCUUCUUUUCUUUUCUUUUUCAGACUUCAAAAAGUCCAGUGUUGAAGCAGUUCUGAAUUGAGAUCUCAUAAUUCCCAAGGACAUAGAUCCCUCGUUGGCUGCUCUUCAGAUUUCUCUCUUCAAUUCCAAGUGCAUCGUAUGUAAACAAUAGUGUCUGUGAUAGUGGAUGUGAUUGUGUGCUACCUGGAUCUCCUAGCUGAAAUCCUUCCAAGAAUUUCCUUCAGUCAAUGGGACCCACCUCCCCUGAGGUUAUGGCUCCAGGUGAAGAUUAAACAGCUGUAGAAGUGUCAUCCAAGAUUGACCAAUGCUGUUCCUGACAGUCCUUCCUGGAGAGCCAUCUGCACACACAUCUCAGUCUCAGAGUCUAUUUCCCAAUGAAUCUAAUCUGAGAGAUCUCUUCACUUGCUGUUUUUUCCCUGUAUGAAAUAGUUACUUUGUUUUACUUUAUUUUAUUAAGUUCAGUGGUACAUGUGCAGGUGUGUUAUAUAGGUAAAUUGUGUGUCAUGGGGAUUUGGUGUACAAAUUAUUUCGUCACCCAGGUAAUAAGCAUAGUACCUGAUAAGUAGUUUUUCAGCCCUCUUCCUCCUUCUCACCCUCCACCCUCAAGUAGGCCCUGGUGUCUUUUGUUCCAUUCUUUGUGUUCAAAUGUUUAGCUCUCACAAGUGAGAACAUGUAAUAUUUGUUUUUCUGUUCCUGUGUUAGUUCACUCAGGAUAAUGGCCCCAUCCAUGUUGCUUCAAAGAACAUGAUCUUGUUUCUUUUUAUGAUUGCAUAGUAUCCCAUAGUGUAUAUAUAUCACAUUUUCUUUAUCCAGUCUACUGUUGAUAGGCAUUUAGGUUGAUUCCAUGUCUUUGCUCUUGUGAAUAGUGUUGCAAUGAACAUAUGCGUAUAUGUGUCUUUAUGACAGAACUAUUUAUAUUCCUCCUGGCAUAUCCCCAGUAAUAGGAUUGCUGGGUCAAAUAAGAAUUCUGUUUUAAGUUAUUUGAGAAAUUGCCACACUGUUUUCCACAAUUGCUGAACUAAUUUACGUUCCCCCCAACAAUGUAUAAACAUUCUCUUUUCUCUGCAACCUCACAAGCAUCUGUUAUUUUUUGACUUUUUAGUAAUAGCCAUUCUGACUGGUGUGAGAUGAUAUCUCAUUGUGGUUUUGAUUUUCAUUUCUCUAAUGAUCAGUGAUUUUGAGCAUCUUUCAUAUGCUUGUUCACUGUAUGUUUUCUUUUGAAAACUGGUCGUGUCUUUUGCCCACUUUUUAAUGGGGGCUGUUUGUUUUUUGCUUGUUAAUUUGAGUCCCUUAUAGAUUCUGGAUAUUAGACCUUUGUUGGAUGCAUAGUUUGCAAAUAUUUUCUCCCAUUCUGUAAGUUGCCCUUUUUACUCUAUUUGUUUCUUUUGCUGUCCUGAUCCACUCUUAAUUCUAUGAUAAUUUCUGAUGGCCAAAUAAUGUUUUACCUUCUUUAAGAUUGUGAUUUGUGUUGCUAAGAACAUCAGAGAUAAGAUCCUAAAUCUUUAGACUUGUCUCUUGAAGUAAGCAGAAAACAGUGGCUAGUGUGCACAAAAUUCACAUUUCUUAGAGAUGUAAAGAGCCUUAGAAGCUGUCCCCUCCUCAAAUACUUCCUGAUGGUUUUGUGUGUGCUGUGAGCUCUGGUGGGCAUUUUCACCUUUGUUGUUUCUCAUAAUUACCCUGUUAACAUUUAGGUUAUUAUCCUAGUUUUAUAGUUGAUAAAACCAAGGCACAAAAAUGUGAAGUGACUUAUCAAGGAUUAAACAGAUGAAGAUGUGUCAUCAUUUUCUACUAAAUGAUAACCUGUGAUUUAUGAAUCAGAUUUCCCAUUUUACAGAUGGUAAAACUGAGGCUCAGAUACAGAUACUAAGUGAUAGAACCAGGAUACAGUUUCACUCUUUUGCUGGCCUACAAACCCUUUAUACUCUAUUCUUACCUCCCCAACAUGUUCUACUUUUUUUCAGAUGAGAAAACUAAGGCAAAAAAAAAAGAAAUCUCAAAUGGUUUCUCCCAUGUCAUAUAGCUAGACUGGUGGUGUUGAGUCUAGGCUCCAGAUUUUCUAUCUCCCACUCCACAACACCAGCUAGCUGUCCUGCUCAGCAUGCUCAGAAUCUGUAGGACUCCGGCUGCCUUUUCCAAACCUGGUCGGUGCAAUGGCAUUCUCACUUUGACUGCAAAACUCCUCACCAAAUAUAAAACUGAAAAUGUAGGCCACCUGUCCAUGUGAUUGUAUUUCAUAACUUAGAGCUAAAAAUAGCUCUCAGCUUGCUUGGCCUGUAUAUAACAUAUUAAAAGCUCAAAUUCAAAUUCACUCGUGUCUUGGAUUAAUGUUAAGAUUAUGGCUUUCCAGACUUCUUUCUCUCACAUUCUAUCUCACCCAGCAGGGAAUGGAUUGUGCUUGUCCACAUUAUUUUCUAUGUGAAUUACUGAGCUCUUAUUUUCAAAGAUGAAUUUCAUGACCUUAUGCUCUUUGCUGUACCUGCAGAAUUCAUUUUGGAGGGCACAGACUCUAGAACCAGACAGCAGGGUAAGGCUGGGUAUCUGUGGCCAAGGCAUGAAAACUUUGUCUUGAUUUCCUCAUCUGUGAAAUGGAGAUGAAAUCAUACAUAUUUCCUGAGGCUGUUUUGAGAAGUAAACAAACUAAUUCAUGGCCAGUGUUUAGCUAAAAUUUGGACACACACACACAGAGUGGACAAAUAGGAUAAUUAAAAGCAAAAAUCAACAAAAUAAAAAAUCACCACCACAUAGCAUGACCAAUUUG